rnacentral:tRNA from 2 species
AGUUAUUUAACUUAUAAUAAAGUAUAUAUUUUGAAAAUAUAAGAAAGAGAAAUUUAAUAACUU